rnacentral:rRNA from 1 species
AGCAGUCGCCGCGGGAAUACGUAGGGUGCAAGCGUUAAUCGGAAUUACUGGGCGUAAAGCGUGCGCAGGCGGUUCGCUAAGACAGAUGUGAAAUCCCCGGGCUUAACCUGGGAACUGCAUUUGUGACUGGCUGGCUAGAGUAUGGCAGAGGGGGGUAGAAUUCCACGUGUAGCAGUGAAAUGCGUAGAGAUGUGGAGGAAUACCGAUGGCGAAGGCAGCCCCCUGGGCCAAUACUGACGCUCAUGCACGAAAGCGUGGGGAGCAAACAGGAUUAGAUACCCCAGUAGUCCCUGUCUCUUAUAC